CUUCUCAACCAGUUUACCUCUCUGACCGCUCUUACGGUGUUUGGGGGCAAAAAACUAAGGAUCUAGACUCUCUAAACCGCUCGCUGGGUCCUUCUCUCCCCACAAUGCACCGGGGCCAGCAGGAAGGCCGCUCCGACCCCUAAUUUUCCCGCGAAUUCAGUUCAAAGAGGCGGCCGGGCCCGCGAUCGGCAGCGCGCACCGGCCAACCAAGCCGCGCCUCCGCGAGAAGCGCCUCCGCGUGACUGACGGGGGAAUCCGCGGGCCAACGGGCUGGGCGGCCCGGCGGUGCGCGCUCCCGCCGGCCAAUCAGAGCGCCGGGCGGGGGAAGUGGGCGGAGCGAGGCCUGGGUAGGGUGAGCGGCCUCCGAAGCGGAGCGGGGCUCUGAGGAGACACUUUUUCUUCCUCCCUCCUUCCCUCCUCUCCUCCUGCCUUCCCUUCCCCUUUCCUCCCCUCUCUCCUCCUUCUCCCCUCGGUCAGCCGGAGCCUGCUGGGGCGAGCGGUUGGUAUUGCAGGCGCUUACUCUCCGGGGCCGCCCGGCGAGUAGCUGGCCGGGGAAGGAGGCAGGAACCGCGAUGGCGCCUCAGAAGCACGGCGGUGGGGGAGGGGGCGGCUCGGGGCCCAGCGCGGGGUCCGGGGGAGGCGGCUUCGGGGGUUCGGCGGCGACGGCUUCGAGCGGCAAAUCCGGCGGCGGGGGCUGUGGAGGCGGUGGCAGUUACUCGGCCUCCUCCUCCUCCGCGGCGUUACCGGUGAAGAAGUCGAAAAUGGAGCACGUCCAGGCUGACCACGAGCUUUUCCUCCAGGCCUUUGAGAGAAAACAUUUAAAGUUGAUGAUAUGUUAUCAAAAGUAGAGAAAAUGAAAGGAGAGCAAGAAUCUCAUAGCUUGUCAGCUCAUUUGCAGCUUACAUUUUUGGUUUCUUCCACAAAAAUGAUAAGCCAUCACCAAACUCAGAAAAUGAACAAAAUUCUGUUACCCUGGAAGUCCUGCUUGUGAAAGUUUGCCACAAAAAAAGAAAGGAUGUAUGUUGUCCAAUAAGGCAAGUUCCCACAGAGUGACUCGUCCAAGAAGAAGAGAGUUUAAUGGAAUGAUUAAUGGAGAAACCAUGAAAAUAUUGAUGUCAGUGAAGAGCUUCCAGCCAGAAGAAAAUGAAAUCGUGAGGAUGGGGAAAAGACAUUUGUUGCACAAAUGACAGUAUUUGAUAAAAACAGUUUCAUCCUUGUUGCCCAGGCUGGAGUGCAAUGGCGCGAUCUCAGCUCACUGCAACCUCUGCCUCCCUGGUUCAAGCGAUUCUCCUGCCUCAGCCUCCUGAAUGUCAGUACUUUGUGUGCUCUUGAAAUAGGAAAUGUACAGAUCCCUAUUGCCAGACACAUCAUUCUCUCCAUCCAGAAAGCCAACUUUGCAAGGACAAAAAAAAAAAUUAGUGUGAAACAAAAUGUGGCUUUUCCAAAGACAGAUGUGAUUAUUUAUAGUCAAUGUGGCCUCAAAAUGUCAUUGAUUGUGAAAUAGCAAACAUGCAGGAUCAUAAUAUUUGGACGGAAUCUUGCACUGUCUCCCAGGCUGGAGUGCAGUGGCACGAUCUCUGCUCACUGCAACCUCCGCCUCCAGGCUUCCAGUGAUUCUCCUGCUUCAGCCUCCCGAGUAGCUGGGACUACAGGCGCACCUCACCACACCCAGCUAAUUUUUAGUAUUUUUAGUAGAGACGAGGUUUCACUAUGUUGGCCAGGAUGGUCUCGAUCUCCUGACCUCGUGAUCUGCCCACCUCGGCCUCCCAAAGUGCUGGGAUAAUAUGCAUGAGCCACAGUGCCCGGCCUAUGCUUUUUUUCUUUUUUUUGAGACGGAGUCUCGCUCAGUCACCCAGGCUGGAGUACAGUGGCGCGAUCUCAGCUCACUGUAACCUCUGCCUCCCAGGCUCAAGCAAUUCUCAUGCCUCAGCCUCCUGAGUGGCUGGGAUUAUAGGUGUGUGCCACCACACCCUGCUAAUUUUUUUUUUCUUUUUGAGACGGGUCUUGCCCUGUUGCCAGGCUGAAGUGCAAUGGCUCACUGCAACAUUUGCCUCCCGGGUUCAAGUGAUUCUCCUGCCUCACUCUCCCUAGUUGCUGGGAUUACAGGUGUGCACUACCACAUCCAGCUAAUUUUUGUAUUUUUAGUAAAGAUGGGGUUUCACCAUGUUGGCCAGGGUGGUGUCUUGAUCUCCUAACCUUGUGAUCCACCCACCUCAGCCUCCCGAAGUGCUGGGAUUACAGGCGGGAGCCAUUGCGCCUGUCCUAAUAUUUGUAUUUUUAGUAAAGAUGGGGUUUUACCAGGUUGACCAGGCUGGUCUCGAACUCCUGACCACAAGUGAUCCAACCGCCUCGGCCUCCCAAAGUGCUGGGAUUACAAGUGUGAGCCACUGCGUCCAGUCUCUUGGCCUCUAAAAUUUUUUUUUUUUUU
rnacentral:lncRNA from 1 species